UACGGAGGGGGCGAGCGUUAUUCGGAAUUACUGGGCGUAAAGGGCGCGCAGGCGGCCUUAGAAGUCAGAUGUGAAAGCCCCGGGCUCAACCUGGGAGGUGCGCUUGAUACUCGAGGGCUUGAGUGCGGGAGAGGAGAGUGGAAUUCCCAGUGUAGAGGUGAAAUUCGUAGAUAUUGGGAAGAACACCGGUGGCGAAGGCAGCCCCCUGGGAUAACACUGACGCUCAUGCACGAAAGCGUGGGAGCAAACAGG
rnacentral:rRNA from 1 species